GAUUGUUUGAUCAUGGCUCAGAUUGAACGCUGGCGGCAGGCUAACACAUGCAAGUCGAAUGGUAACAGGAAACAGCUUGCUGUUUCGCUGACGAGUGGCGGACGGGUGAGUAAUGUCUGGGAAACUGCGUGAUGGAGGGGGAUAACUACUGGAAACGGUAGCUAAUACCGCAUAACGUCGCAAGACCAAAGAGGGGGACUUUCGGGCCUCUUGCCAUCAGAUGUGCCCAGAUGGGAUUAGCUAGUAGGUGGGGUAACGGCUCACCUAGGCGACGAUCCCUAGCUGGUCUGAGAGGAUGACCAGCCACACUGGAACUGAGACACGGUCCAGACUCCUACGGGAGGCAGCAGUGGGGAAUAUUGCACAAUGGGCGCAAGCCUGAUGCAGCCAUGCCGCGUGUAUGAAGAAGGCCUUCGGGUUGUAAAGUACUUUCAGCGGGGAGGAAGGGAGUAAAGUUAAUACCUUUGCUCAUUGACGUUACCCGCAGAAGAAGCACCGGCUAACUCCGUGCCAGCAGCCGCGGUAAUACGGAGGGUGCGAGCGUUAAUCGGAAUUACUGGGCGUAAAGCGCACGCAGGCGGUUUGUUAAGUCAGAUGUGAAAUCCCCGGGCUCAACCUGGGAACUGCAUCUGAUACUGGCAAGCUUGAGUCUCGUAGAGGGGGGUAGAAUUCCAGGUGUAGCGGUGAAAUGCGUAGAGAUCUGGAGGAAUACCGGUGGCGAAGGCGGCCCCCUGGACGAAGACUGACGCUCAGGUGCGAAAGCGUGGGGAGCAAACAGGAUUAGAUACCCUGGUAGUCCACGCCGUAAACGAUGUCGACUUGGAGGUUGUGCCCUUGAGGCGUGGCUCCGGAGCUAACGCGUAAGUCGACCGCCUGGA
rnacentral:rRNA from 1 species